rnacentral:rRNA from 1 species
CGAAAGCUAGACGCAGCAACGCCGCGUGGGUGAUGAAGGCCUUCGGGUCGUAAAACCCUUUUCUGGGGGAAGAGUAAGGACGGUACCCCAGGAAUAAGCCUCGGCUAACUAUGUGCCAGCAGCCGCGGUAAUACAUAGGAGGCAAGCGUUAUCCGGAUUUACUGGGCGUAAAGAGCGUUGAGGCGGCUUCGUAAGUUGGACGUGAAAGCUCCCGGCUUAACUGGGAGAGGCCGUUCAAUACUGCGGGGCUUGAGGACAGCAGAGGGGGGUGGAAUUUCCGGUGUAGUGGUGAAAUGCGUAGAUAUCGGAAGGAACACCAGUGGCGAAGGCGGCCCCCUGGGCUGCUCCUGACGCUGAAGGCGAAAGCUAGGGUAGCGAACGGGAUUAGAAACCCCGGUAGUCCUAGCCGUAAACGAUGGAUACUAGGUGUAGGAGGUUAAAAUUCCUUCUGUGCCGGAGCUAACGCGUUAAGUAUCCCGCCUGGGGAGUACGGUCGCAAGGCUAAAACUCAAAGUAAUUGACGGGGGCCCGCACAAGCAGCGGAGCGUGUGGUUUAAUUCGAUGCAACGCGAAGAACCUUACCAGGGCUUGACAUGUAGGUAGUGGUGAAGCGAAAGCGGAACGAUCCUUCGGGAAGCCUACACAGGUGCUGCAUGGCUGUCGUCAGCUCGUGCCGUGAGGUGUUAGGUUAAGUCCUGUAACGAGCGCAACCCCUGCCGUUAGUUACAAGUGUCUAACGGGACUGCCCGGCAAAACUGGGAGGAAGGUGGGGAUGACGUCAAGUCAGCAUGGCCUUUAUGUCCUGGGCUACACACACGCUACAAUGGCCGGUACAAUGGGUUGCCAAGCCGCGAGGCGGAGCCAAUCCUCUAAAGCCGGUCUCAGUUCGGAUUGUAGGCUGCAACCCGCCUGCAUGAAGUUGGAGUUGCUAGU